AGACAGCAGCAGCCACGGUAAUACGUAGGGUGCAAGCGUUAAUCGGAAUUACUGGGCGUAAAGCGUGCGCAGGCGGUUUGUUAAGACAGAUGUGAAAUCCCCGGGCUCAACCUGGGAACUGCAUUUGUGACUGGCAAGCUAGAGUGUGGCAGAGGGGGGUGGAAUUCCGCGUGUAGCAGUGAAAUGCGCAGAUAUGCGGAGGAACACCGAUGGCGAAGGCAGCCCCCUGGGCCAACACUGACGCUCAUGCACGAAAGCGUGGGGAGCAAACAGGAUUAGAUACCCGUGUAGUCCCUGUCUCUUAUAC
rnacentral:rRNA from 1 species